CUCCUCUGAGGGUUGCACCUGGAGAGUUCCCAGUACUCUUCCAGUCCUGAGUAAGAGAGGGAGAGUCAAGCAGAGGCAUAUCCAUUCCAUUCCUAGUUUGGGCAGUGGCUAGUAUGUGGAAGGCAAUCUGCUACAAGU